ensembl:snoRNA
AUCCUUUUGUAGUUCAUAAGUGUGAUGACUGGGUGUUCACACUCUUGUGUGAGAUGUGCCUCCUUUAAACCUCGUUACAACAUCGGCACAUUACCCAUCUGACG